UACGUAGAGGGCAAGCGUUGUCCGGAUUUAUUGGGCGUAAAGAGCGUGUAGGCGGUUUGGUAGGUCCGCUGUGAAAACUCGAGGCUCAACCUCGAGACGCCGGUGGAAACCAUCAGACUAGAGUCCGGAAGAGGAGAGUGGAAUUCCUGGUGUAGCGGUGAAAUGCGCAGAUAUCAGGAGGAACACCGGUGGCGAAGGCGGGUCUCUGGGCCGUUACUGACGCUGAGGAGCGAAAGCGUGGGGAGCGAACAGG
rnacentral:rRNA from 1 species